rnacentral:rRNA from 1 species
UUGAACGCUUGGCGGCACGCCUAACACAUGCAAGUCGAGCGGCAGCGAGGAGGGUAGCAAAUACCCUCUGUCGGCGAGCGGCGGACGGGUGAGUAGUGUGUAGGGGACUUGCCCAGUAGAGGGGGGACAACCAAUGGAAACGUUUGGCUAAUACCGCAUGCACCCGAGAGGGGAAAGCAGCUGAAAGGUUUGCACUACUGGAGAGACCCUGCACCCGAUUAGCUAGUUGGUAGGGUAAAGGCCUACCAAGGCGAAGAUCGGUAACUGGUCUGAGAGGGACGACCAGUCCACACUGGGACUGAGGACACGGCCCAGACUCCUACGGGAGGCAGCAGUGGGGGAAUCUUGGACAAUGGGGGCAAACCCUGAUCCAGCGAUGCCGCGUGGGUGAAGAAGGCCUUCGGGUUGUAAAGCCCUUUAGGGUGGGACGAAGUGUGGCCAAGGAAAAGGUGGUCACAUUGACGGUACUACCAGAAUAAGCACCGGCAAAACUCUGUGCCAGCAGCCGCGGUAAUACAGAGGGUGCGAGCGUUAACCGGAAUAAACUGGGCGUAAAGGGCGCGUAGGCGGUUAACAACGUGUGAUGUGAAAGCCCCGGGCUUAACCUGGGAAGUGGCAUCGCAAAACGAGUUGGCUAGAGAGCAGGAGAGGGCGAUGGAAUUUCCGGUGUAGCGGUGAAAUGCGUAGAGAUCGGAAGGCACGUCGAUGGCGAAGGCAGUCCGCCUGGCCUGCAACUGACGCUGAGGCGCGAAAGCGUGGGGAAGCGAACAGGAUUAGAUACCCUGGUAGUCCACGCUUGUAAAACGAUGAGGGACUAGAUGUUGGUGGGGGGAAACCCAUCGGUAUCGAAGCAAAACGCGAUAAGUCUUCCGCCUGGGAAGUACGGCCGCAAGGUUGAAACUCAAAGGAAUUGACGGGGGGCCCGCACAAGCGGUGGAGCAUGUGGUUUAAUUCGAUGCAACGCGAAGAAACCUUACCUACUCUUGGACAUCCUGCGAACCUGGCUGAAAGGCUGGGGGUGCCGAAAGGAACGUAGAGACAGGUGCUGCAUGGCUGUCGUCAGCUCGUGUUUGUGAGAUGUUGGGUUAAGUCCCGUAACGAGCGCAACCCUUGCCCUUAGUUACCAGCAAGUGAAGUUGGGGACGCUAAGGGGACUGCCGGUGAAGAACCGGAGGAAGGCGGGGACGACGUCAAGUCAUCAUGGCCUUUAUGAGUAGGGCUACACACGUGCUACAAUGGGGCGUACAGAGGGAAGCGAGACCGAGAGGUGGAAGCGGAUCCGAGAAAGCGCCUCGUAGUCCGGAUUGGAGUCUGCAACUCGACUCCAUGAAGUUGGAAUCGCUAGUAAUCGCGAAUCAGCCCACGUCGCGGUGAAUACGUUCCCGGGCCUUGUACACACCGCCCGUCACGUCAUGGGAGUGGAUGGUACCAGAAGGGGGUAGUUUUAACCGCAAGGGGAACGCCUGCCACGGUAUGAUUCAUGACUGGGACG